UAUAUAUAUAUAUAUGUCAAGACCUAAUUAUACUAGCUAGCUGGCUACUUCGAUUGCAAGUCCUUUCCAUGCUUUUCCACAGCUUUCUUGAACUUCUUCUGCUUGAAUUUUGAUCUCCAGAAAUCAUAUGGUAAAUAAGUUCAAGAAAACUGUGGGAAAACAUGGUAAUUCUGGACUUUUUACUGCAAUCUCAGAAGGCCCCCUCUCCUGUGCUGCCGCAGAUUGCUCCAUUUUUCACUUCUCCACCGAUCUCCAUGAAGUGGAGGGAUGUUGAUGAAGCCGACCGUUGUUAGAAGGUUUAGCAAUACGUAUAUGUUAUUUGGAGUAUUUAGUAUUUACCAUGGUAAUUAAAUCACUGUUAAUUAGUUACCAGUUACCACUACUGUUGGAAAUGCUCUUUAAUUCUUAAAAAUCUUUUUACUGCUUGCUUUCUGAGAGGUGCAUGUGGUUAGUGAGAAUGGUGAAAAGAUAAACUGAAAGAUGUAGCAGAGAAGAUUCCAUUCGCUUCCCCCUUCUUUAUCAUCAAUAAUUGACAUUUCAUCGUU